rnacentral:lncRNA from 1 species
GAGAUUCCACCAGUACGGACGGCCUGGAUAAGACGAAAAUAGAAUAUACCCUAUUUUGACCCGUGCAGAUUCUUUUGGAAGAACCCUAGGAUUGAUUGGAGCGAGCGCGAUGGCGGGCGUAGCGGCGGUGGCGAGAGCGGCGACCAGGACGAUCGCGCAGUCCUCGCAGCUAGCUUGUAAGUGACUCGCAUUCUCUCGCGAUCGAUUAGGGCUUUCUUUUUCUCCUCUUUCUUGUUCUUCCAGCGACGAGGAGCUUCCAGACGGGCGCGCCGAGGCAGUGCUACUACGAUUACGAGCACCGGGAGCAUAUGUAUGAGAUCUGGAACAUGAAGAACCGGAACCUCAAAUUUGGGCUGCUGGUGUGGGGCGGGAUCGUCGGGCUGGGGAUCGCGAUUCCGAUCUAUGUCGUCAGGUUCCAAAUGAAGAAGGCGCAGGCUUAGACGACGAAGACGAACUCCCGCGUCGAGCAGCAAGAAAACUCCUCUAGGUAGGAGUCUCUUCGUCUUUUUUCUUCUUUCAUUGUUUCUCUUCUCUUUCUUUUUUCUGCUCAUUGCUCUUCCUCCUCCCAGCUAAAUGCAUUGGUCAGGGCAUGCAACGCCAGGCAUCUUCCCCGUAUAAAAAGACAUCGUUUUUUAGCUCUUUGUCUAAAGGAAUCUCUUCACGAAUAAAAAUGUUCCUUGAAAACUUUUAGGUUGAGCAAACACACACACAAAAGUGUGACGUGUCAGCCGAUAUGGCCUCCACGUCAAGAGAAUCA